rnacentral:rRNA from 1 species
CCUACGGGUGGCAGCAGUGGGGAAUAUUGGACAAUGGGGGGAACCCUGAUCCAGCCAUGCCGCGUGUGUGAAGAAGGCCCUCGGGUUGUAAAGCACUUUCAGUGAGGAAGAACGCCUGGUGGUUAAUACCCAUCAGGAAAGACAUCACUCACAGAAGAAGCACCGGCUAACUCCGUGCCAGCAGCCGCGGUAAUACGGAGGGUGCGAGCGUUAAUCGGAAUUACUGGGCGUAAAGCGCGCGUAGGUGGCUUGAUAAGCCGGUUGUGAAAGCCCCGGGCUCAACCUGGGAACGGCAUCCGGAUCUGUCAAGCUAGAGUGCAGGAGAGGAAGGUAAAAUUCCCGGUGAAGCGGUGAAACGCGUAGAGAUCGGGAGGAAUACCAGUGGCGAAGGCGCCCUUCGGGACUGACACUGACACUGGGGUGCGAAAGCGUGGGUAGCAAACAGGAUUAGAUACCCUUGGAGUC